rnacentral:tRNA from 1 species
GGGAUUGUAGCUCACUGGUGGAGUGCUUGCCUUGCAUGCACGAGGCCCUGGGUUCGAUCCUCAGCACCA